GAGACGGGGGGAAAGCUGAUUGCCCUCCAGGAAGCGCAUGGUGUGACUGUACAACGGAGACCUCCACAUUCCUCCUGGGGCAGAGGACGGGCGUUGCUAGGAGAUGGUGUUGCCACGGCGGAUGCUGUUGCUGCCUCCGUCGAUGUGCAGAAGGACGUGGUUUCAAUCUGAGGGGGAUAGGGAGGCAAAGAGGGGAAAAUCUGGAGCGUUUGGGGACAUGUAAUGAGCUCCCCAGUCUCUAGGGGGCACUCUUGGCACCUGAGUCACACAGACAAUACUUCUGCCCCUAGUGCUCAUCCUCAAACGGGGACCAAUACAGUAGCAGGCCUGGUAGUUCAGAGGGGUAAUAACUCAGCGUAGACAUGGAAUCAUAAGUGGAUAUAUUUAUAUUAUUUUGAAAUAUUUAUAUGUAAAACCUAUUAUAAUAUCCACUUUGUAAAAUGUAUCGAAACAAAAGCAAAAGUACAUUAGCAUGCUCCCUGGAUGUUCAGAACUUUUGUACGUGAAGCAAUUAAAGAUAUGGGGUAAAACUACAGAACAGAAGGAAAUGCUGCUGUGUUUCUCAAACUGUGGUGCAGGUUGAUUUUAGUGGUACAUGGGAUCCCCUGCACUUAUCUUUUAAAGUAUUUAUUUUAUUUAGAGACAAAUGUAUUUGUCUGUAAUCAUUAUUUAGAGCAACACAUUUAGUCUAAUUUUAGACCUAAUUUAAUUUAUACUCAUUUUUUAAUAUUUUAGGUCUGGUGGUACUCAGAAAGCGACAUCUUUUCUUAGGUAGUGUUUGGUCUGAAAUGUUUGAGAACCACUGAAAUAAUGGAUUACCUAAAAUCCAAAUAUAGCAUGUCCCAUAUAGUAGGCCUACACCUUUCUCAUAUUUAAAGUGUAAAAAAAAGUACUGGUUUGUUUACAGGAAUGGCACGUUUUCAUAAGCAUUAACUGCAACUGACAAUGCCCUGUUUAGAAAUCAACCAACAUGGGUUUGUCAUGGCCAGUGCUAAUAUUGAUUGUUUAGAAUACAGAGCAACCGAAGGCCAGUAAGUUUUGCUGAUAUUUUUGGCCAAUAUGUUGGUCUGAGACUGAUUGAUUUGAUAUUUAAACCAAAUUAUGUUACUCCCCCAAGCCAUUUUUUACCACAAACCUUUAAGAAAGCUGUAUAGUCAAGUUUUGUGCAGCCAUCUUUUUGAAUUCAAGUGUUAAUAUAAAGCUUUGCGUGUAUUGGCCUAUUCUGGAGAUUUAAAGCCAAUAUCCAUUACGUUAAAUAGUCCAAAUGUCCAACCAAUACAUCGUCUAUCUCCAGUCCUGUUACCAGUGAUUCAUUGUACGUAUUGUGUUAAUGAGUGACUGAACCUUCAUCUCAACCACAUCGACUAACACAUAUCUGUCCGACAGUGCUGAAGUUUCGAGAUGUGGACUGAGUGAUUUGACUAGUGGUGAUUGUGCCUGAGGAAAAGUGGCUGCGAUGCUGGAGGCCUGGUUCACGUGUUCUGUCUGGAGACUGGUGCAGCUCCGGGUCCAAACUGUAAGCGCGUUGCCAUGGUGACCCAUAGCCUGGGAUCCAGACUAAUUUUCUAAAACAGAAGAUCUGAUCUGAUCACCACUUCCUCAAUCAAUCAGGUGCAAUCAGGUUUGUUUAUUUCAGUACACAAGGUAAACUGACAAACUCAUUGGCCAUCUACUAUUUAGAAUUAUUCUCAAACUUCUCUCUCUUCAUAUUAACAGUGUUUAGGGUUUCACUCAUUGAUUUUGCAGAAAUCUGUGAUGUUUCUCAGUUCCAAGUGUUAUUUUUUUCCGUCUUAUUCCUCGCAAGCAGCCAUGUUUGUUUUGUAGUGAACAGACCAUGAAAUUCUCCGAUUGGCUAAUCCGUCUGUCAAUCACGCCAGUCUGCACUCACAGAGAUAACACCAGUGUCCAGACUACAUGUUUUUGUAUAGAGAAAGCAGUUUUGACUGGUCAGGCAAAGUGGCUGAACACCAGGACCACUGAAACUGAUGUACUUACAUGUAGACAUAUGAUAUAUUUUGAAAGUGUGUUGGUUAGAAAAACAAUUGUAGUGUGCUCUUUAUAGAAUACUUGCAUAGGUAUAGUUAGAUGGACAAUUGGCAAUGCUAUAGACUCUAUGACUAUCAAAUCUGGACUAAAAUAAAUAAUUUUAAAAAUGUAUGUAUGUAUGUAUUGUUCACUAUUAUUACACAUUUGGAAGUAUUGUUUUAAAACAACUGGUAAAAUACAGCAUGACAUUUUUGAUUUCUUCCUUCAUUUGAGAUUUCCCUGGAGUGUAGAGCACUUAUUGUAACUUCAGUUUAGUUCUCCACAGACAGAAUGACAGAGGAGUCCUGUGGGACCAGCUCCCCAGGGACCGGUCCCACAGGAUGAGGGCCCAGUGACAGUGUCCAAGUGUCCGAGUGUCUGCUGCACUCACCGGGCUGUGACAGGAGCAGACAGGCGCAGGUUAUGAGGAGUCUGCACUAUCACAAGCAUAUCAACUCUCUCUGCAGGUAGACUCUUACAAGGAAACAACUGUAGUUAGUCAUACUAUUUACAAUCUACUUAUUUCAAAUAAGAUAAACUUUGACACACAUUCCCAGUCUGGUUUUCACAUAUUUAAAGAUAAUUUUGAAAAUAAAUCCAUAACCUGUACCCUCAUCCAGACCCUAACCUUAAGCAUAAUUCAAAACCAGGCCCUAACCAUAACCCUAAAACCCAACAAAUGUAGGAACAUAGAUGAUUGCUGGCAGUGGUAUUACAGCAAAACUUUUCUCAUUUGAAAGUUGUGAAAAGUGCUUUCAUUCAUUAGAAAAGUAAGGAAUAAGUUUGGGCUGCAACAAACUGUUUGUUUGAACUAGUAAUGUUUUUCAUGUUUUUAAGAAAGUAAAAAUCAGGUAAGCACCUUUUUAAAAUGAAGGUAGUGCAGCAUAUUUGAUGGGUAGCCUUGCUUUAGAGUUGUAAAGUGUUUGCACAUGCAGUGAAACAGUGAGGAAGGACCUGAACGGCAUCACACGUCAUCUCCUCACAAUCUGCUCUGACUCUCAGACAGCUGCCACCAUUGUUUAUUAGAGAUAGACUGAUGUAUCAGAUCAGGACAAUAUUUGCCCUUUUAGCUUAUGAGCUAUUAGCCUUAAACUGUGAGCAGAGGUCAACUUGAAUAUUUUUUGGUGUUGACAACCUGCUUAAAGGAAAAACUUAAAGGUUUAAUUUGAACACAUACUUGCUGAAAUUGCAGCAAAAAAGUGACACGGGUCUCUCAUAGUUUAGUUUUGUGGCAGUGGGGGAGUUUGUUGUAAAGUCACUUUAUUGGUAUUGAUGAUUGGCUUUUAUUAUUUGGGGAAAAUUAUACAUUUUGGCUCUUGGCUUCUAAAUAAUCAAAACUGUAAACUCUAAAUAUUCAGCAUUGCCAAGAAAAAAAAAAACAUCAGUAGAUCUUUAUUGUUUAUAACUGACCAAGUUUAAACAGAUACGUACAGGCUCUAUAAAGCUUAUUAAGAUAUAAAAUUUUAAAAAAAACCAUUAUGAAUAUUCUAAGUAUGGAUGAAUAUUUAUGUACGAUCCAAUAGUACUUAAAGGCAUUGCUGGCUCGUGGCUACUUUGUAUGGAGGCCUGCGGUCAAACACGAUUGGCUUAAAGGCACAAGGAUGCAUGUGUGCUGGUAGGUGCACAAUUAGCUGCAGCUCCUAGUUUAUUUUUCUCCACUUCUUACAAACUUUGAUGGAAAGGAAUUUGUAAUAUUUAGCAAAGAAAUAAGCUGUUCUCAAGAUGCUCUUAGAUCCUGUACAGCUCACUAUAGUAACAUGAUGAGAUUAACACUAAUUGACUUUUUACAUAAGAACCUUGUUACUAAUUGUUCAAAGCAUUCCUUAUUUUGCUAUAUGUAACAAAAUACAGUAAAAAGGGUAAAAAUAACUAAACAUCAGACAUUUUUGAAUAAUUUACCUUUAAUUCCUUUAUUUGAUCAUCAUUUCUCAUUUAUAAAUUGCUAUAAACAACUGAUGAUAAAGUGAAUAUAUAGGCUGUCAUGAUACUUCUUUGAUUUUUAUGUAUUUUUAUUAUUGACAUUCUCUCUCCCAAAAGAUCUGCCUCUUCUUUGCUCUUGCCAGGUGACCACUGUCCACUGAACCCAUACAGUGGAUGUGUACAUGUGAGGUCAGUGCUGUGACACAUGAGGGAGGGAGCACCCGAGCACCUGGAUAGCACCCAGCACAGAGGAGUGGUCAGGCGUGAAAGUCAACAUGGCAUCACGAAACAGCAGCACGCCAACGUACCACCACCAGGAAUCACCGCAGACAGACACAUCCUUCAGUGUAGCGUUCAGACUGAUGAUGUUUUGGUCCCUCCAUAUGGCCCUUCCCUACCUAUCCUGUUGUUGCAAUAGUCCAGGAGACCUCUGUAGUGAGUGGGUGUCAGGUGGCAGGCUCUGGGCUCCUGUAGGUGGACAGUGGACCACAGGACAACCGGUUCGGGACAGCUGUGACAUAAUGAGGCCAGUAAACAAGCAUGUGUCUCCCCCAUGGACACCUCCUCACAGCGGGAUGCUCCUCCUGUGUGCUUCUCACUGUCAGGGCACUCAGGGCCAAAUGGUCAGAAGAAAGAGGCUCACGUCAUAUUACGGGCCAAACAAUGGACAUGGGAUUAGGCCUGCCACUCACACCAGGGCCACCACGGUCAAACUUACUAUCACAUAUUUCAUUACAUACAAAAACAGGAUCCAGAAUUAUUCAAGAUUAAAUAUAUGUGAAAAGAUCUCUAUAACUUAUCAGGCGCACCCACUGAUAACCUCAGUUAUCAUUCAAGAAUAUAAAAUCAUCGAUAUCAGCAGGCUUAAACAAAUGGCUUUUAAAAUGGACUGACCAUAACACAAAUAUUAAGA